UUUCCAUAAAGUUUAAAAAUAAAACUAAUCUGUAGUUUUAAUAUAUUCACAAAAAAACUUGUACACAAAUAUUGAUAGCAAAAACUAAUAAUACCUAAAGGUGGAAACAACUCAAAUGUCCAUUAAUUAAUUAACAAAUAAAAUGCAAUAUAGCUAUACAAUGUGAUACAUUUCAGCCAUGAAAAGAGUGAAGUACUGAUAUGUGCUAAAACAUGGAUGAACUUUAAUAACAUCAUACUAAGAAAAGCCAGACACAAAAGCAUAUAUUGUACAAUUCCAUUCAUAUGAAAUAUGCAUAAUAGACAAAUCCAUAGAGACAGAAAGUAAAUUAGUGGUUUCCUGGAGAUGAGGGAAUGGAGAAUGAUUAUGGGAUUUCUUUUCAGAGUGGCAGAGGUGUUCUGGAAUUACCCAGUUGUGAUGACUCAGCAACAUUAUGAAUGUUUUAAAAAUGACUGAAUUGUAUAUUUUAAAAUGGUGAAUUUUACAUUAUGUGAAUUUUAUCUCAAUAAUAAUAAUAAACGAAGAGAAACAAGCAAAUAAAAAACAUCUAACUUUUGGUUUUGAAAAUCAAGUUAUUUAUUUUGGUACAGGAUGGUAGUGACUAGCAGAGAAUAUGAGGGAGCUUUGAGGUUCUGGUAAUCCUUUCAUCUGAGUAGUGGUUUUAUAGGUGUAUUCAUUUUUUGAAAAUUAAUAAAGCAAUUUUGUAAUGUAUGUUAUAUUUUUAAAGUAUAUUUCAAUAAAAGUUAUAAAAAUAAAAUUUACAAAUUAAAAAAUGUUUUAGGGCCAGUUAUAAUUCAAUACAUGGUAACUUAAAAUUAUAUCAAGAAAUAAUUAAAAUACACAAUAUAGCCUCACAACUAACAAUCUAUAGGUUGGUAUCUGGAAGCUUAUUGAAUUGAAUAAUCCAACAAUCUUGAAAAUAAAAAUAAAAUAAAAAUCAAUUAGCAAUUUUAAAGGCAUGAAUCAAAGAUUCACAUUUAGUUUAAAAAUACUCUUAAAAAUACUUGGAGUGGAAAUACUUAAAAACACCAACUACUAAAAUUAUCAUGUAAAAUAAUCAAUAGCCUCCAAUUUCAUAACAUUUUGGCAUUUCAUAGUCAGGGCCCAAAUCUGUAACUUUUCUCUUUACUUAUUACUGUCUUCAAGAAACUUUCAAAAGAUAGAUUGUAUUAGACAGACAGAUUACCAAUGUUGCAAUAAUGGCUCUUUGAUUUUUUUUAUGUCUAACUGUAACUGGAAAAUUCUGGACAUGCUUCAAAAUUGUCACUAUGCUUUUAUCCAGAUGCUUUCAACCAAAGACACUUAGACCAAAACACUUGGCUAUAGAGCAAACUUAAUCAUUUGAUUGUUUAAAUUCUAUUUUCUCAUUUCUAUUUUUGGGAAGAAUCCUCAAUGAUUUUUAUAAAUACAGGCAACAUUUUAUCUUUAAGAAUUUUUUUGUCCCAAAAGAAUCUAUGGUGAAUGACAACAAGAAUCACUUUGCAAAUAAUAUUCUAUCCAGUGUGUUUUUGCAAUACUCAGUAGAUUUGGUACAUAGAUUUAGCAGUGAAAAUGACUAUCCACUGCCUACUGUAAAAAUGAAAUAUAAUAAAAGUUAGUCAAAUUUUUAGAUUUCACAUAGACUUACUGCUGUAGAUAAACUAUUCUAAAAAUGAACUGAAUAGAAAUAUGCUGAAUAAUAUACAAGAGUGGAUUUAUCAGCAAAAUUUAUAAAUACAGAGAAUUUGAUUUAAUAAGAAAUUAAUCUCUUUUUUCCAAUUGAAUUUGCCUUUCAUUCAUUUCCAUAAGUCUUCCCUGUUAUCUAAAAAAAGUAGUAAGGCUAGUCUAGGUUUUUCCAUUUUCAAAGUAACCACAUUUCUAAAGUUAUAAAGACUUAUUUUAACAAUGUUCUUAAAUCCUAAUGCUUCCUAAGUACAUAAAUGAAAGUGACAUACCCAAAUGGCAAAAUGAGCUCUCACAUAAAAAAUAGAAAAGCAAGUUUUACUUAAUCAACGCUAUUUUAGAAAGUGAGGCAAAAAUAAUAUUGGCUUAUUCCCUCUUCUACUAGCAUGUCAUAACAUUUGAUGCAAUUCCUAUUAUUAUUAAUAAUUUAAAAUAAAACAAGUUCCAGAAAGCACAAGAACAUAAAAUGACUUUAAAGGGAAAGCUGUUGCAUCUCUUUGGAAAUAUCAAGGGUCAAGUUUAGCAUUAACGAACUAAUGCCAACACAAAUCGGGAGGAAAAAUAGUUCUCACUCUGCCUAGCAGCACAUUCUAAAAUUGGACCUCGCCUGGAAUGAACUUCUAUUCACUGAGUCAUUGCCUGUGGAAUUUCCAUUUUAGCUCUCUAAUUUGGCUAAUUUCCCCACAAAUAGACAUGAGAGAAGCUUCCUUCUUCCACAUGCAGUAUUAUGUUAUUUCACACUGCAGUUAUAUCCCUCUACUGUGUACACAGGAAAGGGAAAUAAGUCUUGACAAAGACGAAUCAUUUCUUGACUUUAUUCCAAGGAAAGACUGGCUUAGAAUUGAAAUGUUUUCAUUUUGGCUACCAUUUGCAAUUUUUAUUGUUAAAUGUAUUUAUUUUUUAAACUGACAAAAAUUGUGUAUAUUUAUCAUAUACAAUAUGUUUGAAAAUAUAUAUAACACUGUGGAAUGACUAGAUAGAGCUAAUUAACACAUGCAUUACCUCAUAUACCUACUUUUUGUGGUGAGAACAUAAAAUAUUAUGUAUCACUAUAGUGAGCUUUAUUUUUUUUAUAAUGGGCUUUGUUUCCUUUCCAAAUGUAUUCAGUUAGUUAUACUUUAUUCAGAAUGUGAGAGACCUGCUUGAUGAUUAACACUAUCCCUCAUCACAUGAUUGGUGAAGUUUCAGGAUUCUCCAUGUUAAACUCCAGUAGUUGUCAUUCCCAAGUAUCAAACGAAGUCUUUAUAGCCUUAUUUUCAGCUAGCAUACCUAUAUAAAAUAACUACUUUCUAAUUAAAGUCUUGUUUUUUUGUUUCAGAAAAUUAAAAUUUGCUUGUGUGUCCAAUAUAAGGAAAGUAAAAAUUAUUUCAAAAAUUACAGGUGUAAAAUCAUUUAUUUAUAUGCUAUGGUUUUCUCAUUUGGAAACAAAAUGUUUGUUUUAUAUAAUUUCCAAAAGAUCACUCUCAGGUUUUAUACUUAAUAUAUCCGGGAUUCCAAUCUAGAGCAAAUCAAAAUAUAGCAUAAUUUACAAGUUAUUUCCCAUAGUAUUUUGCUAUAAUUAAAGCUACCAGUCACAAUUCUGUUUAAAUUUUAAUUUAGGACAGUUUAUCCUAAUUGCUGUAUUGCAGCUUACAUUUUAGAUUCUUAGAACUUUUUGAAAAAACUUCUGAUAAUCUGCACAUUGAAAUAUUCCUCAUAAUUUUCUGUCCAUACCGUGAAAAUAACAACUGCCAUUCUAUCUGAAUCUGUAUAAUUCUAAUACAUAACCAUCUAGAAAUUGAUUAUAUAUUAUUUGUCAUUGCUUGCUGAAUUUUUGUUUCUAUCUAGCUUGUAAUAUGUGUGGGUAAAGGGCAGAAUUUGUCAAAUAUGUGCUAAAAAUGUUUGUUUGAAUAAAGUAAUGCAACAUACUUUUGUGUUAUACUUCAUAGUGCCUCACACAGAGUAGGCACUCAAUAACCACCAGCUGCUUAAUAAGCUGGUAAUGAUAAGAGGUAGUCUAAGGAUUCACAGUUAGUGCUCAUAAGAAUAAUUAUCUCCUUUGUUUAAAAUACUGAGUUAAGGUAUUUUCCAUAGGCAGAAUGAUGGUUAAUGUGUUUUGCAUGUGCAUAAAUGUCAGCAGAAAACUAGAAUGAAAUGUAUUGUUCUGUUGACAAUGCAGGACAGCAAAGUCACCACCGAACAAAAUGUAAUUGCUAGGUAAUUAUACUAUUUAUUUACUCUCUCUUUUUUUGCACUCCAUGCUCACUGAGUUAUCACCAUUAGUAGUCAGGGUAACUAUAAAAUGUGUUACAUUAGGGUGUAAAGAGAAAAGAGGAUGUGACUUCUGUAAUUGAGUUUCCAUACAUCAUCACUUGCCAUGUUAGCUAAUGAAAGAGAGGAUUAUGAGUAAGAAGCCCAAGUAUCACAUCGAAGUUGGUUUUUGGGCAAUCCUAGUCCUAUCUCUUCCAAUUUAAGAGAAAUGCAGUUAAAACUCAAUCUAACACAGUUUAGCAUGAGAAACUAUUGAAAUUAAUGACUAAGCAGUAUCUUCCAAAUUAUGGAGAUCUGAUUUGUUAUAUUAAUAAGCACCAAAUAAAAAAUACCUGUUGAAUAUCUGUAGUAGCAGAAGGCAGUAGUAAGAAAGAAAUGGAAGCCAGCGACGACAUAGCUCAUUUUGAUACAGAGUAGUCUGGGCUUAUAUUGUACAAGGUUGAAGAGUCCUGCAGAUUCUCAAAGGGAAAUAACAUUAUAAACAUCAAAUGUGAAUCUAAGAACACAUGAGGGAGCCAAACAAGAUAAAGUCGUCUAACAGUGUGGAUAAUCUAGACUAUGCAUGAUUUAUUCAGAGAUAGCCAUAGUUUAUCACUUCCUGAUAAAUUAAGCAUGUCCUAAUCGUCUUUGCAUAAAUAUUCCUGAAAAUAUUUUAUUACACAACUUUGUUCAUAUUAAUCAAGUGUAAUUUUUAUAGUAUCCAAGAAAUCCUUAGGGACAUUUUUAAUCUUCCUUUCUCUUUCUGAUGGUUGUCCUAUACAUUCAAUAAGUCACCAAAUUAUAUUCAUUUCCUCAAUUAGGACACAUCACCUAUAUCUCUGUCUCUUCUCGUCACCACUUCAGUCCAAGCCUUCAUCACAACACUCCGGAAUUACUACAACAGACUCCUAUGUGACGGCACUAUUUCCCCCAUCGUAUCCACAUUAUACAUGUCCACUAUAUUAAUAUUUUUAUAUAAUCAUAUUUGACUUCCCUUCUCAAAUAUCUUCACUGGCUUUCAAUCAUAUCCAGAAUAAAGUCCUAUCUACUCUGACUGGUUUGUAUUGCCUUCCGGAAUUUGGCUCCAUACUGGCAGUCUAACCCUAACACCCAGCACUUACCAAAUAUGAGCCCUGAAUUUGAGUUAGGCUGUUUUUCACAGUGUUGUGUGGCUAAUUCCAUUUUGAGUUCUUUGUGCUUUUCUCCCAGGCUGGAAUUCACCAACACUCUUCUUUAUAUAACUAAAUGUAACCACCCAUUAAACUCUAGCUCCUGCCCCUCCUUUCACUCCAAGCCACUCAUUUGGUGCCUGAAAACAUGUUUGUUGAUUUUGUUUAGUUGUAAAAUGGCUAAUAGGUGAAUUUCUAUGUCCUCUCCAAAAUUAAGAUAUGGCUCAUAUUUUACUCUUCUUAUCUAUAUCCCUAGUAUUCUACCUUGCAUUCUGUAAGGAGUCAGUAAAUUAACUUGAAAUAUGCAGAGGGGACCAUAGCUUAAAAAUUGUUACCAGAGGCCCCAUCUAUUUAGAUUUUGUAAACAUAUAAAAUUCAUUUUUAAUGAUUGCUUUGCUUUUUAUAGUUUUUUUUGUGCUUAAACAAUCUGUUAUCUAAACCCUUGGUCCCUAGCCAUUUUCUUGUUUUCCUGCAACUAGAUGGUCCCAUUUUGGGGCAAUGGGAUACAGCGACAUAUCAUUACGCAUUAGAUUCUCAUAAGCAGUGUGCAAUCUAGCUCCCUCCCAUGCGCAGUUCACAACAGUUUGUGCUCCUAUAUGAGAAUCUAAUGCCACUGCUGAUCUGACGAGAGGUGGAGCUCAGUUUUGCUCCCUGGCGGCCACUCACCUCCUGCUAUGCAGAACAAUUUCUAAUACGCCAUGGACUAGUACCUGUCCAUGGCCUGGGGGCUGGGGACUCCUGCUUUAAAC
rnacentral:lncRNA from 1 species